rnacentral:rRNA from 1 species
CAAGAAAGCUAUAAGUAAUGCAACUAUGCAAGUCAUAUGCAAGUCAGACGGGAAACACGGGAAACGGUGUUUCCACUGGUGGACGGGUGAGUGAAGCAUAAAAACCUGCCCUUGGGAGGGGAACAAUAGCUGGAAACGGCUGCUAAUACCCCGUAGGCUGAGGAGAAAAAUGAGGAAUCCACCUGAGGAGGGGCUCGCAUCUGGUUAUCUAGUUGGUGAGGCAAUAUCUUACCAAGGCAAUGAUCAGUAGCUUGUCCUAGAGGAUGAUCAGCCACAUUGGGACUGAGACAUGACCCAGACUCCUACGGGAGCCAGCAGUAGGGAAUUUUCUGCAAUGGGCGAAGCCUAAUGGAGAAAUGCCGCAUGGAGGUAGAAGGCCCACGGGUCGUGAACUUCUUUUCCCAGAGAAAAAGCAAUGACGGUAGUUAGGGAAUAAGCAUCAGCUAACUCUAUGCCAGCAGCCGCGGUAAUACAGAGGGUGCAAGUGUUAUCCAAAAUGAUUGGGCGUAAAGUGUUUGUAGGUGGCUUUUUAAGUCCGCCAUCAAAUCCCAGGGCUCAACCCUAGAUAGAUGAUGGAAACUACCAAGCUAGAGUAUGGUAGGGGCAGAGGGAAUUUUCGGUGGAGCGAUGAAAUGUGUAAAGAUCGGAAAGAACACCAAUGGUGAAAGUACUCUAUUGGGUCGACACUGACACUGAGAGACAAAAGCUAGGAGCGAAUGGGAUUAGAUACCCCAGUAGUCCUAGUCGUAAAUGAUAGAUACUAGGUGUUAUGCGUAUCGACCUGUGCAGUGUUGUAGCUAAUGCGUUAAGUAUCCCGCCUGGGGAGUACGUUCGUAAGAAUGAAACUCAAAUAAAUUGACGGGGGCCUGUAUAAGCGGUGAAUCAUGUGGUUUAAUUCGAUGCAAAGCGAAGAACCUUACCAGGGCUUGAAAAGCUGAAAAUCCUCUUAAAAAGAGGGGUGCCUUCUUGAACGCAGACACAAGUGGUGCAUGGCUGUCGUCAGCUCAUGCCGUAAGGUGUUGGUUUAAGCUCUGUAACAAACUCAACCCUCAUGCUUAGUUGCCCUCAUUGAGUUUGGAACCCGAAACAGAAUACCAGUGAUAAGCUGGAGGAAGGUGAGGAUGACAUCAAGUCAUCCUCCUUAUGCCCUGGGCGACUCACGUGCUACAAUGGCAGAGACAAAGGGUCGCGAUCCCGCGAGGGUAGGCUAACCCCAAAAACCCAUCCUCAGUUCAGAUUGCAGGCUUCUACUCGCCUGCAUGAAGCCGAAAUCACUGGUAAUCGCCGAUCAUCCAUAAGGCGGUGAAUUUGUUCCCGGGCCUUGUACACAUCUCCCAUCACACUAUGGGAGAUGUCCAUGCCCGAAGUCGUUACCUUAACCGUAAGGAGGGGGAUGCCGAAGGCAAGGCUAGUGACUGGAGUGAAGUUGUAACAAGGUAGCCGUACUAGAAGGUGCAGUUG